rnacentral:rRNA from 1 species
GAGAGUUCAGAUGAGCCGUGCAUGACUCAGUGUAAGCAUUUAUGCAUUGAAAUUGCAAAUGGCUCAUUCAAACAGUUAUAGUUUGCUCGAUGGCCAUCAAGUACAUGGAAAACUAUGGCAGUUCUAGGGCGAGCACAUGCGCCCAAACCCGACUGUGUGGAAGGGCGGUCCGUUGUUUUGUGUUUGAUACAGAACCAGCCCACGCUCUGCACGGUCUUGUGGCGCCACAUAAAAUAAUGAAUUGCAUGGCAUCAGCUGGCAAUGAAUCAUACAAGUUUCUGACCGAUCAGCUUCCGACGGUCGGGUGUUGGCCGACCGUGGCAAUGACGGGUAACGGAUAAUUGGGGCUCGAGUCCGGAGAGGAAGCCUGAGAAACGGCUACCACAUCUAAGGAAGGCAACCAGCGCGCAAAUUACCAAAUCCUGACACAAGGGGUAGUGACAAGCAGUAGCAACACAGGGAAUCCAUGUAUUGUAGUUUGAACGAGUAGCAUUUAAAUC